UUUUAUUUUCUAUUGUUAUGUUUUAAUUUUUUUCUUGUGUGCUACUUUUUUUUAAGUUUUAUUGAAGUUUUGUUGAUUUACAAUGUUGUGAUAAUUUCUGCUGUACAACAAAGUGAUUCAGUUAUACAUCUUCUGUUUUUAUUUCUAUGAAAAUUGUUUCAAUGCUAAACUGAGUAAAAUAUAGUACUAAAACUGUGAUUAUAUAUCUAGCUUAUAAUUUGGUAACUAAAGGCACUUAUAGGGUAAAUUCACUUAAAACUUUUAGUAACAAUUUUGGAAUUUGCAUGGCUACAUGAUCUAAGAAUGUGAGGCUUGGGAAAAGUAGGUUAAUAGACCAAGAAAAUCUCUUAGUGAUAGAAAGCUAUUUAUACAUAGAGUUGUAUUAAAAAUAACAUAUUAAACCACUAACUCAUAUAUCUUUACAGAUUUGAGAUUGUGAGGCUGAUAUAAUAAAUUAAAUUUUAUCUUACUACACCUAGGAUUGUUCAUUUCUCUAGUCCACUAAAUUAAGCACAAAGAAUACUGGUUUCUUAGAGAGAAACAUGAUAUUAAACAUUUGCUCUAACUGUUCAUUUCCAGUAGAUGGCUACAGUUCACUACCAAAUUGAACUUAUAAUAGAUUUUUCACAGUAACUAAAUCAGAAGAUGAAGGUUGAAUUACUAUAAAUGAGUUGCCCUGUACAUUUUUCUUAUUUCAUGUGCUUAGUCAUCUAGUGUCAUUAUUUUUUUUUUAAAGAACAUCUUUUUAAAAUGAUUGAAAAGUGGUAUUUUCACUUUUCCUUUUUGAGCAAUGUGUAGUAAUGCCAUUAUUUUCUUUUGUCACAAAUUAUUUACUUUUUAAAAUUCAGUAUUAUAUGAGGAGUACUAGUAAUUACUAAGUUAUGUAAAAAGGAUACUAUUAUAAGAGUCCUUAUAAAUUCCAUAAGUUAUGGCUUUCCUAAAUCCAGUCAUUUUGUUUUUAAAUUUAUUUUAGCUUCUAAAUUGAAGCACUUGAGUCAUUUAUCACUUGUGUUGUCUAAUUACUGGCUUUCAUUAUAUAUUAUUUCAAAUAUAUAUGUAUGUAUUUUAAAAAAUAAGGGCUUUUUCAUUAAUCUGGAUCUAUACUAAAUAUCUUACACAGAUACAUAAUUUAGUUAAGCAAAAAUAAUAUAACUAUAAGCUUUCUAUUUGGAAAAAUAUGUAUUAGUUUAUAAAGUACUUAAAAUUUGCAUUACAAGUAGACAUGUAUCUGUCCACUAGGCUGUAGAAAUAGCUUGUAAGCAUAGCACCGAGGUGAUAAGUAUCAUUAUUGACUUUUCACCCUCAUCCAUAAAUAUAACUGCGAUAUCUGAGUAAAUGAGUCUGAAUUUAUUGUGUAUGUGGGGGUUUUGAAUGCAACCCAAAUGUGAAAACGAUGAGACUUUUCUCGCUCCACCUCAAGACUACUGUAUAAUUUGUCUACCUUCUCUCACUGAAUAUUUGUUUUUCUUUGAGGUGUGUGUGUGUGUGUGUGUACAUAUAUAUCAAUGUGAUUUUAUGUCCUCCAGGUAUUGGUUGAACCAAGCGGUUCAAGGUUUAGCCUUUUCUUUUAAUUUUACACGUGGAAAUGAGGGUUUUAUGUGAUAUUGAGACUGCAAUUUUAGAUCAUUUUUUAAAAAUCCACUGCCAGUUUAUAUGGCUGGCUACAACUGUUAAAUCUAUUAUUGAUAACAUUUUCCUCAGCCAUACAGAUUAUAAAAAUAAUGCCAAUGUUCUAGGAGAGUUUUUUUUCCCACAUUUAGAUUUUAUGUAUAAAUUUUACAUUCUUCCCUUAGGACAAAUGAAUUAUGUUUGCAUUUUUUUUUUACUGAUGCUUACGUAUAUAUUUAUCAUUGUGAUAGAAGUUGAUUAAGAAAUGGACCAUAAUCAAAACUAAUUAAAAGAAAUUUCAUUCACACAUUUUGUUAAGGGAUAGUUGGAAUAUUCAGACAAAGCUUUGUGAUUCAAAGGGACUUACAAGUCACAGGUUACUUUACAUAAGAAUAACUGAUUUUUCUAAGACAUUUAAAUUUUAUAUAAAUAAGAGGGAUUUUUUUGUAUGCAAUUCAUUUUUUACGGAUGGGUAAAAACCUUAAAAGACAAAGGAUAUUUGACCCCACCCUGGGACCAUGUAAUGUAAGUUUACAAAAGGAUCAAGGAACACAGAUUUUAAUAAUGCAAACAGUAUUAGUCCUGUCCCCUCUGGCGUUUUGAACCAGGACACACUGAUUGUAUACUUUGAUUCCUAAACCGUGGAGAUGUAUCAGAUGCCCUGGGGAGCACCUGGCCAAGCUAAGAACAUUUCAGUGAUUACAGGGUAGUGCCUAGAGGGCAAUUAAGGGACAGGGCAAGAGAUAGACAGUAAUGAGUCCCGGUAGCACCUUAAUGAACCUCCGAAAGGGAAGCAGAGUUAGGUAGACCCGUGGCUCAGAGGGAGAGGUUGUUGAGUAAUGUGGAGAUUAUUUACCAAGACUAUUAUUUUUGUAUCUUGAUAUUUAUAUAAUCAGAGGCAAAUUUUUAAAUCCUCUUAAUGUAUUUAACAUACCCUUUUAGAUUGUGAAUAAUUUGAAUUUUAUUAAUACAAGCUGUUGUUUUCACGUAUUGCUUUUUACUGUGCUGAAGUUUGACUUAAAUGAUACACUUGUUUUGAAUGUACUAUUUUAAUACAUAAUUUUCCUCACAAUUGAGUUUGUAGGUGUGUUUUUCCUUUUCCGAUUAUAUAGUAAUUUUAGUCAGGUGUUGGAACUAGCUUUUUUUGUUUAUCUGUGUAAACUUCCUGUUUGCUUAUUCAUUUUAUUUUCUUAGUUGUUAAUACUGCAGGGGAAAGCCUACUUUUGUUCAUCUCGGUCAAACCUGUGAAAGCUGUAAAAUUGAGAAUAAUCUCUUGAAAUAUAUCUUUUUUUGCUGUAAUUACAUUAAAAAGGAUUAUAACAGAUUUUUAUAUAGUGUUUGUGAUUCAUACAAGAGCAUUGGAUGAUUUAAAAUCCAGUUUAUUUCCCUACUUCACCGCUGAUUUUCUGACUCAUAUUUGUUGCUUAAAAGCACAUUAAUAGCAUAAUACAGAUAUAUUUCUGUGUGCUUUCCUAUUCGUCCACUUGCAUU
rnacentral:lncRNA from 1 species